UGUGGCUUCAGAAGAGAAACCCACAA
rnacentral:piRNA from 1 species